GUACUUCCCCUGCAGAGAAAAUACCAUGAUCAGAAGGGUGGUUUUCCCAAGAUGAGGCUCAUUCAUUGCACUCGGAAUAGCUAACCACUGCAUACAAUUUCUCCAAAUUUUGGAAAUUUGAUUGCAUAAUUUGUGGUAGUGGAGGACUACAUUUGUCUUAUCUUCUU
ensembl:snRNA U1 U1 spliceosomal RNA